rnacentral:lncRNA from 1 species
AGUAGAGGGCGCACUCUUGUGAGCGGCUUUUGUACCCAGUUGCUUCCUGGCUGCUUUACGGUCGAUUUGCAGGCAGUCCGCUUUGUACAAGCCAUGGUAUAGAGGCUUCCUUAUUUACCUCCCUUAUCCUUCAGCUGGAGCUCUGCGAGCCAGAGGCAGCGCUGGCGUUGGAGAGUGAUGGCGGCAUGGCGGUGCGGCGGCGGCUGCGAACACCUUGAGGACGGGUCGCAUUAUGUUGCCCAGGCUGGACUUGAACUUCUGGGCUCGAGCAAUUCUCCCACCUCAGCCUACCAAGCAGCUGGGACUACAGGUCUGCACCACUGCACCCCACCCAUUCAAGUCCACAUCCCCAGAAACGAGGAUAAUGCUUGGCACAAGGUAGGCAUUUAAUACAUAUAUGUUGAAUGUAUGAAUAAAUAUACUGGCUCUUUCUCAAGGCCAGAGAAGCCUCUCUUCAUCUUCCCAGGACUUCCAUUACCUACUUUUUUUCUGGAGGGCGGGGGGGAAUAAUUUCAACCUACAGAAAAGAUGCAGAUGCAAGAAUAAUGAAAGGAACUCUUAGAUACCCUUUAACCAAAUUCACCAAUAAUGUUUUAGUUUGUAAAAUCUAAUUUGAAAUAAUUUUUUUAAAAAUUUAUUUUCUCCUCAAAUUUCUUUUUCUUUUUCUUUGGCUUAAGAAUCUUCAUGUUUUUAUUUAUUUAUUUAUUUAUUUUUUGUUUUUGUUUUUUUGAGACAGAGUCUCACUCUGUUGCCCAGCCUGGAGUGCAGUGGCAUUAUCUAGACUCACUGCAACCUCCACCUCCUGUGUUCAAGUGAUUCUUGUGCCUCAGCCUCCUGAGUAGCUGGGAUUACCAGUGCACGCCACCACGCCAGGCUACUUUUUGUAUUUUUAGUAGAGACAGGGUUUCGCCAUGUUGGCCAGCCUGGUCUCGAACUCCUGACCUCAGGUGAUCUGCCUGCCAUGGCCUCCCAAAGUGCUGGGAUUACAGGCUCAUGCCUGUAAUCACUGCACCCAGCCUCAAAUUCCUUUUUUACCAUGAAAUAAUUUCAAAUUUAUAGAUUUGCAAGAAAAACACAAAUAAUACAAAGAACUACCUUAUACCCUUCACCCAGAUUUCCUGAUUAUUAAUCAUUUACAUUUGUCUGUUUUUCUUUCAUGUACCAUUAUUUUAUUCCUGAUACAUUUGAGAUUAAGUUGCAGACAUGUUGACAAAUUACCCCUAAAUACUUCAGUGUGUAUUUCCAAAAACAAGGAUACUUUUCCAUAGAACCUCAAUACUCUCAUCAAAAUCAGGGUAUUAACAUUGCUACAAUACUUUAAUCCACAAAUUCCACUUAAAUUUCAACAAUUGCAGGGAUAGCAUUAGGAGAAAUACCUAAUGUAGAUGACAGGUUGAUGGGUGCAGCAAACCACCAUGGCAUGUCUAUACCUAUGUAACAAACCUGCACGUUCUGCACGUGUAUCCCAGAACUUAAAGUAUAAUAAAAAAAUUUUCAACAAUUGUUCAAUAAUGUCACUUAUUGAAAGGAAGAGCAACAGCAUCAUCAACAAAACUUUUCCGCCUUUCCUUUCUGUUUCAAGAUUCAAUUCAGGAUCAUGCAUUGUAUUUAGUUGUCAUGUCUCUCUCUCUCUCUUUUUUUUUUUUUUGAGACAGGGUCUUGCUCUGUUGCCCUGGCUGGAGUGCGGUGGCAUGAUCUUGGCUUACUGCAACCUUCGCCUCCUGGGUUCAAGUGAUUCUCCUGCCUCAGCCUCCCGAGUAGCUGGGAUUACAGGCAUGUGCCAUCAUGCCAUCACCCCUGGCUAAUUUUUGUAUUUUUAGUAGAGAUAGGGUCUCACCAUGUUGGCCAGGCUGGUGUCAUGUCUCUUUAGUUUCCUUCAAUGCUUAGUUUUUUCCUCAUUUUUCAUGAUCUUGCCAUUUUUGAAAAGGAUAGGUCAGUUAUUUUAUAGUAUUUCCCUCAAUUUGGGUUUGUCUGAUGUUUCUUCAUGUCUAGAUUCAGAGUAUGGAUUUUUGGUAAGAAUGCUAUAGAAGCAAUACGAUUUUCCUCUCAAUGCCUCACAUUAGGAAGCACAAAAUACCAAUUUUCCUCAUUAAUAAUGAUAGUAACUUUUUUCACACUGUUAAGAUGAUGUUUAUAUUUCUCCACUGUAGAGUUCAUUAAUAACAGAUAUUUUAUUGAGCUUUACUUUUAAAUUUUAUACAUAUGUAUCUUUUUUUCAUCAAAAUUUUAAUGAGCUUAACAUCUAUGGAUAAUUCUUGUCUGAAUAAUUUAUUACAGCAGUGGUUGCUGAGUGUUAUUUUCUAAUUCUUUUUUUUCCUUUUUUGAGAUGGAGUCUCACUGUGAUGCCGAGGGUGGAGUGCAGUGGCACAAUCUCAGCUCACUGCAACCUCCGUUUCCUGGGUUCGAGUGAUUCUCCUGCCUCAGCCUCCUGAAUAGCUGGGAUUACAGGCACCUGUCACCAUGCCUGGCUAAUUUUUGUAUUUUUAGUAGAGAUGGAGUUUUACUAUGUUGGCCAGGCUUGUCUCAAACUCCUGGCCUUAAGUGAUCUGCCCAUCUCAGCGACCCAAAGUGCUGGGAUUACAGGUGUGAGCCACCAUGCCCGGCCUUGUUAUUUUCUAAUUUGAUCAUUUCUUGUACAUUUAUUAGUUGGCAUUGUACUAUAAGAUAGAUCUUUUCUUUGAAUAUCAGUAUGGGCUUAUGGAUUCUUAUUUUAUUGAAUCAGUUAUGCUCUAUUAUUAUCCUUAACUAUUACUUAUUACAGCUUUAUUGAUGUAUAUUUGACAUACAAGAAAUUGCAUAUACAUAAAGUGAAAAGUUUGAAGAAUUUUGUGUACCUAUAAAGUGAAUAAACUGUUACACUAAUCAGUGAAAUAAAUAUUUUCAUUAAUCCCUAAAA